rnacentral:misc_RNA from 1 species
AACGCACGAGACCUGCGGACCUGCGGAAGGAUCAUUACAGGACUCGCAAGACUCCUACAACCCUGUGAACCUACUAUACGAACGUUGCUUCGGCGGGUGCGCCCCGGGGAUUCGUUCCCGCGGCGCGUCAGCCCGCCGGCAGCCUACAAAUUCUGUUUCUUUGCGUUGGCAUCUCGAGAAAAACAAAUAAGUUAAAACUUUCAACAAUGGAUCUCU